CCUACGGGCGGCAGCAGUGGGGAAUAUUGGGCAAUGGGCGCAAGCCUGACCCAGCAACGCCGCGUGAAGGAAGAAGGCUUUCGGGUUGUAAACUUCUUUUCUCAGGGACGAAGAAAGUGACGGUACCUGAGGAAUAAGCCACGGCUAACUACGUGCCAGCAGCCGCGGUAAUACGUAGGUGGCAAGCGUUAUCCGGAUUUAUUGGGUGUAAAGGGCGUGUAGGCGGGAGCGCAAGUCAGAUGUGAAAACUCAGGGCUCAACCCUGAGCCUGCAUUUGAAACUGUGUUUCUUGAGUGCAGGAGAGGUAAGUGGAAUUCCUAGUGUAGCGGUGAAAUGCGUAGAUAUUAGGAGGAACACCAGUGGCGAAGGCGGCUUACUGGACUGUAACUGACGUUGAGGCUCGAAAGCGUGGGGAGCAAACAGGAUUAGAUACCCGAGUAGUC
rnacentral:rRNA from 1 species